rnacentral:rRNA from 1 species
AGUCGAGCGCGAAUGGAGCAAUCCUAGUAGAGCGGCGCACGGGUGCGUAACACGUGGAUAAUCUGCCUGGGUGUCUGGGAUAACCAGUCGAAAGACUGGCUAAUACCGGAUAAGACCACGGUCUCCUCGGAGGCUGUGAGAAAAGGUGGCCUCUGUAUACAAGCUAUCACAUCCAGAUGAGUCCGCGGCCCAUCAGCUAGUUGGCGGGGUAAUGGCCCACCAAGGCGACGACGGGUAGCUGGUCUGAGAGGACGAUCAGCCACACUGGAACUGAGACACGGUCCAGACUCCUACGGGAGGCAGCAGUGGGGAAUUUUGCGCAAUGGGCGAAAGCCUGACGCAGCAACGCCGCGUGUGUGAUGAAGGUCUUCGGAUUGUAAAGCACUUUCGACCGGGACGAAAACCCGCAGCCCAACACGCUGAGGCUUGACGGUACCGGGAGAAGAAGCACCGGCUAACUCUGUGCCAGCAGCCGCGGUAAUACAGAGGGUGCAAGCGUUGUUCGGAAUUAUUGGGCGUAAAGCGCGUGUAGGCGGCUUUGCAAGUCGGGUGUGAAAGCCCUCAGCUCAACUGAGGAAGUGCGCCCGAAACUGCAGAGCUUGAGUGCCGGAGAGGGUGGCGGAAUUCCCCAAGUAGAGGUGAA